GCCUCAUCCCCUCAUUGCCAGGCUUGGCUCUUGGCUCAUGCCACUGGGGAACGCUGAGCCAGCCGUUUCAGCUCUGCCACCGGUAGCACAAAGUGGGUGGCCCAUAUACAUGCCGGCUUCUGCCCACUCCUGACUCCAGGACAGUCCGAUGCCAUGACAGUGCCCCUGAGCGCUGGAGAGGACUAGGGCUGCAUUAGGACACCUGAAGUGCAGCUGCUGGAGAGUCAGCAGAACCACCCGGAGACAGCCACGCUUGCCUCCCAGCCCGGGAAGCCCAGAGGCCCAGAGCAUAGACGUCGCCCAGAGAAUAUCUGCCAGCAGGAGACAUUGGACUUGUAACUGAGUGGUUGGUUAAUCAGUCAGCUGGCUGGCUAGCAGGGACUUCAGCAGAGGAAGAGUCUGCCUGGAUUCCAGCUGAAGAUUCCUACAAGCAAUGGAGGGAAGAUGUUGUUUUAGACUCAGCAGAGUGUCUAGAUUUGGUGAUCAAAGACUCUGAGACUUGGAUGAACAAAACCUAAGCGUUUGGGAACUUUCAGUUUCUUCUCACUAUUUCUGUGGGGACUGAAAGAUUUUAAUUAGUUUUCUUUAUUUGUGUUUAUGUAUAACUGUGAAGGUCACCCAGACCCAAUGGAGAAGACGAUUAUCCUACUUGGCGAGUACAAGCCAAAGAGAUGAUGGAAGACAGUGAGAUUUCUGACAAAGUCAAAAGAAGGAAGAUUAUUGAAAGUUUAUUAACCCCAGCAUUGAAGGUGGCCUUAGGAGCUGGUGAAAUCCAUUGAAAGGGAGCACUCUGAUAAACAGAAGAGAAAACUUCAACAAGAACGAGAAGAAAAAGGAAGGCCAUUGAGUAGGAGUAGUUUGCAGUUGAUGAAGGCAUAUGAAAAUACUCCCACUGCCCAUGAAGAAGUCACUGCAAAAGACUGGAAGGAGAAAUAGCUGCAGGCUGAGCAGCAGUUGGUAGGACUGCAGUUUACCCAGCCAAGUUCUGAAAAGUCCAUUGCAGAUACACGAUUUACUCCUCAAAGACCCAAAGAAUUUAAUAAACAAGCAAUGCCAAGAUUUAACAGAAGAAAUCCUUUAUGUUUUAACUGUGGGCAAAUAGGACAUUUUCAAAAUGAAUGUCAGAAUUCUCAUAACCCCAAUUUAAUACAUCAGCAGCUGACUGGUAGACAUUCAAAUCAGAGCAAGUCUGAGCCAGCAAGAAAAUAAACUAACAACUCUCAGAGCAAGGCUGCUAGUCAAUGGG